UUCAGGUUUAAGCUGCCUUAAAAUCGGGACUGCAAAGAAUGGAAUGAGACAGAAGAAAGAAAACAACGCUCACAAGUGCCCAGCAAGUGUGUAAGAAUGGGGAGGGCCCUCUCUCAAGGAUCUUUGAGACUAAGUGGAUGAAAUGCCAGCUGGACAGAAGUGUACGGAGAACUAAUGAAAUAGUGGCCAGGAAAGGCUCAUGGAAGUGCUUUGAGCAGAGGGGUAGCAGGUUGUUUGACACGCAUGGACACACAAGAUUAUGA
rnacentral:lncRNA from 1 species